GAAACUCUAUAUCCUUGAUUACAUCUUCUCAUAUUAGCAAAUCUUCUUCAUAUUUGUGCGCCUCGGUUGGAAAGUCGGCACAUUGGUUCUGUUAAAGGUUCUUGUGCCACUAAUGGGAGAGUUGUUUCUUGAUCAUUUCUAACAAUAUUGGAGAUUCUUGUGCCUCCUUUUUCUGCAAUAUCAGAGGGUUGUCGCAUUCCUUUUCCAUAAUUGCUUCGCAGGAGUCAACUGUUCUUCUCCACUGUAGCAGCUUCUCUCAUCCUUCUGCAGUUCCAUGUUUUGCAAAGUUGGAGAGGUCUCAGUUCUAUGAAUUUCGUAGGCUUUUGUAACACAAUAUGGAUUGGAGGCACCCGCGAUGCUUGUGGCAUUUUUGGCUAAAAAUUUGUUCCACCUAUGUGGAAACAGUGGAAUUCCUGAUUGAUUAUGAACAAUAUUUUGGUGAAUGUACAUAUACUCCAAGCAAAGAGAGAGAAGGUACAUAUUCUAAUUGAUAUGGUGCAAAUCAUGAAAGGGCGUCAACAAAUCAUUCUUGGACACGAGAAAAGGAAAGAAAACCAGAAGUUCAAUGACGUAUGAAUAGUCAUCUGAUAGGUUAACAACUCUUAGUUGUAUAUUGCAAAAGCCUUUAUCUGUGAUUCUUCUGAUCUGAAAAUUUGUCUUUGAACAAUGCAAACUUGCAUCUCUCAUCAGCACGAGCCGAAGUGCUCAAACUACGUACUAAUUCCCUGUCACAGUGUAAUUAUCGUCGAGUUCAACACAUUUCAGUCUAAAAUAUCAAA